GGCUUUUCAGGGCUUCUGUGCCUUCUUUUUAAUUCUUCAGUCCUUCAAUAAAAGAUGCUUGUAGAUAUAAUUAGUACAUUACUUGGGGCUUUUUAAGAUCUACCCUAGUCUUCUGGUUUAAAAGUCCAAAUUCUGAAUGAAGUCCUGCUAUGUUAGGAAGGUGGCCUAGAGAGAAAGCGGCAGAUGAAUGAGGAAUUUAAAUCUCACAUCAUGAUCUGGUGUGACCAUCAUUAGCCCCACACAGUGUCUGCCGCUACCCCAGAACAAGUUGGGGGUUCAUAUCUUGUCUUGAAUGUGUUACAAGUGGACUUGACAGGAACUAUUUAGGGGAUAUUUCUCUUAAGAAAAUGAAGUUGUUGCUGUACACAGCAACUCUGGAGUUUGAAAACUGACUUGUUUGCUGUACUCGGCCCUAGAAAUGUAUUUCAGGCUAACUCUACCUCUGCUCUCAAACCAAGCAAACCAAAUGGCUAACUCACAGAUUGUGGACUAGAAAAUGUGAGCAUUAGGUGUUUCAGGUUCUUAAUAAUCACUGAACAUUGUUCUUUCAGUGGCUAGGGUAGAGCUCAGAGUUAAAACACGGGCAGAUGAGGCCCUGAGCUACAUCCCCAGCAGUGCAAAACUAUUUCAAAUACAGUUUUGGGAAGUCUAGUGUGCCAAUAUAAGAAAACUAUUCCUAACUAAGCUGAUAUUUAAUAUAGGGUAAUAUCUUAAAAAUGAGUAUCAAGAGUGCUAAUAAGGGAAAAUAUAGUAAGUCAGUAUUUUAAUUAAGCUGUUUCCUGAUGAUGAAAGCAAAAUAUUAAACAUUUUCAAUUGUGUCUUUUAUGUUAUCAGAUUUCUUGUUUGGGACAGAGUCUCACUAUGUAGCCCUGGAUGGCCUAGAACUCACAGAGUUCCCCCUGCCUCAGCCUUCCAGGUGCUAGGGGUUAGAGGUGUGUGCUAUUACGCCUCAGUACAGGAUUUUCUUUUAAAUGUUGCUAAGCGCUUCAGCUUUUUAUAUGUCUCAUGUCUUCAAUCCCUAACUUUGGAGAAACCUUCCUCACUUCAUCACUGUUUGAAAAGUUUAAUAUUUGUUCUGGGAGAAUGUGUUUCUAACCCACAACUGCUGAAUUAAGCAGCAGUUAGCAUAUGGUAAAAUCUGUGAUCUUUGAACUUGAAAUUUUUUCACUGCAUUUAUACUUCUCAGUCUGAUAAGUCUAUAGUUUCCUAAAGUCUAAUGGAAACUAGGUUCCAAAGUUGGAAGGCUUAUUAAUCCAUGCACUUCCCCAUGAAAUACUAUGUAAAGUUUAUAAUCUCUACUUUAAAAGUUAUUCUCUAGGGGCAUUAGUUUUUGUUAACUGGCUCCUAGCAACUGGAUGAACAUGUUUUUCUUUUU
rnacentral:lncRNA from 1 species